UUUGCUGUAGUCUGAAAUCCUCAGCAGCAGUUGAACCAUGUGGUCUUCACAGGGAAUUCAGUGCCAGACUUCUGCACACCACCAGUGGACCCCACCCCUGACCUGAGGGGACCAGUUAUUUGAGAAGGGAAUGGAACUCCUUCUGGAAUGAAGGUCCUAGAACGCUGCCCGAGCUGCUGUGAACAUAUUAUGGCUGAAGAAUCUGUUUCAGCAAAUAAUAGCAUCCAGGACUUCUGCAUCUAAAGGCAGGAGGGCUACCUGUAAAGAUCAGAGAUUUUAAGGGCAAAGAGACUAUUGGAUCCAUCCAAGCGUUCUUGAGUCGCCUGGGAUUCCUCUUGGUUUCCAAGAGGCAAUAUUGCUGAGCCAUCAUGUAACUCCACUGUGGGGAAGACCUGGCUGAAGAGAAGACUCUUGCACUGGGCCUUACAGUGGUAAG